ACUGUAGUAGUUUAGUGGUCAGAGCAUUGGUGCGUAAAGCCAAAGGUCCCGGGUUCAAUUCGCGGCGAGGGUG
rnacentral:tRNA from 1 species